ACAGGCUUUCUGUUGGGUAUCCUUACGGGCUUUCCGCAGAUAGCCACCCACUUUAGGAGUGCAGUUGAUGGCCCGUAUAGCCGGCAUUAACAUUCCUGAU
rfam:Gallaecimonas xiamenensis 3-C-1 contig44, whole genome shotgun sequence.